GUGGUCAGCCAGUCGCUUAGGACUCCUAACCCCAUUCCACAGGAGUGGAAGGGCAGACAGAGCACAUAAAUACCUUGGUUCUCCUCCCAACCCCACGCUCAAGGCAACGUCUGAGUGUCUUUAUUUGUCUCAUUUCCUUAGGACAAAUUCCCAGAAGCGGAAUCCGUGGGUCUCAGGAUGCUGCCGGAAUCUGCCAGAUAUUCAUGCCAGUCUCACCCAUCCCAACACCCACCUGGGCACAUCACAGAUGCUCAAGGAACAUUUGCUGCACGAAGUCCUUGGGUCUGGUGUGCUCAAGUUGUAUUCAACUUUAUUUAUUCAAGUUUCCAGCAUAGUUUUCAUCACAUAGGAGGGACUCAAAGAAUAUUUGUGAGAUGAAUGAAUGAUCCAUUUUAAAGAAAGCUAAACAUAUUCCUACCCUGUGACUGAGCAAUUUCACUCCCAGGGUCUUUGUAGCUGUGAUGACGUGGAGGAUCUUGAGAUGGGGAAAUUAUCCUGGAUGCUCCUGAGGGACUCUCCAUACCAUCACACGUAUCCUUAUAAGAAGGAGGGAGAGGACAAUUGUACCACACACACAGAUGGUGAGGAGAAGCAGUGCGACCACGGAGGCAGAAGUCAGUGAUGUGGCUGAAAUCAAGGGAUGCCCGCAGGGCCCAGAAGCGACAAGGACCACAGGAACAGAUUCUGCACCAGAGCCCCCCGAGGGAGCGGAGCCCUGCAGAACCCCUUGAUAUCAGCCCAGUGAAACUGAUUUGGAUUCCUAGCCUCUAGAACGGUGAGGGAAUACAUUUCUGUUGUUUCAAGCCACGCAGCUUGGGAAACAAGCAGAUGGCUUCCCUAGAACUUUCAGGAUCUGGUCUCUGCCUCUUCUGCAGUCUUUUGACCUGCUGUUUAGUAGACCUUCAUCUCCAUCCAGCCCUCCCCGGCCCCGCCCCGCUUCUGGCCACACCUUGUAUGUGCUGAUCUCCCCACCUGGAAUAGUCUUCCGGUCCCUGCCAACCCUGAGCAAUGCGGCGUGCUCUCAGACGAGAAGACUCAGAGGAGAAGACGGAGCGCGCAGGGAGGACCGUGCCUCUCAGAGCCCCCUUAACCUUGUCUCCGAGUCGGCGCCCUCCCUGGCCACAGUCUCAGGCUGAGACAGCACCCUCUUGCUCAGCCUUCCCGGCGAAGGCUUCAUGUCAGGGCAGGUUGGCAAGCCCCAGCUGUCUCGUCUUUGACCUCACCAGGUGCCCACAGAUGGAUACCUUCGUGAGAACAGUGGAAUAAACACAGGCUUUGGUGUAGGAUGGAACUGGGUCGGAAUGUUGCCUUUGCUGUGUACACACUGUGCGACCCUGGGGACGUUACUUAAGCUUUCGGAACCUCAGUUCUCUUAUCUGUAAAAUGGGACCUAUAAAAAUGACCUUCGAGGGUGGUUGUAUAUAUCCCGUAACAUAUAUUUAUGAAGUAUCCACUCUACGUGGACCAGUCCAGGUCCCUGCCUUUGGGGAGAGUGCAUUGACUUAGGGUACUGAGAGAGUAAAAUGAGACCUGGAACAGGUACACUUUCCCCCAUUCGCUCUGCAUCGUCUGAGGCUCCCUUUUCCUCGGGGCCAUAUCUGGCUCGCUUACCCAGUGUAAGGGAAAUCUCCCAAGGGACAGGUUUGGCCCAAGAGGAGGCAAGCAGGCAGGGUGUGGGGCUGAGCGUGCCUGUGGAUAGUGGCUUUGGUCUGGGAGCAGCCUUUAGCUUCCACUCAUGCUAUAGUCUAGACUUCAACAGCUGGGAGGCAGCAGUCACCUUUGCAGGAAGAAAAGUUUGUAAGUACAGCAGGCAGAUGGGUAUAAUGAGCCAGCUCUGGAUACCUUGCCUGGAUCCACAGUGUAGAACCAGGGACAGAGCGCACACACAUGAGUUCUGACUAGGUGUGCUUACGUGCAAAUCCCUGUGCACACACAUUCGCAAACUCGCCUGGGGAACCGCCACAUUCUCAGACACACAUGGGCACAUACGUCGCUACAUACACUCACUCAUGCUUUGUAUUUUUAUCGCAUUCAUAUUUAUUUCGGAAUCAUGUUUUGCCCUUCUCUUCCCUAACUGGAUAUUUGGGUAAAAUGAUGAGAAACUGAGGCUCAGAGAUUUGAAAUUCCUUCAUCAAGGUCACACAGCCCUCAUACAGCAGAAUUAAGCUACAAACCCAAGAUUCUCAAAUGUCUCCAUCAAAUCAGGCUGCCUUUCUACACACACACACACACACACACACACCACUUUCUGAGCCUCAGUUUCCUCAUCUGCAAAAUGGAGACAAAAACAGAAGCAGUUUCACAGGGUUGUAGUGAACACUAAAGGAGACAAUGAAUGUCAGGUUCCUGGCCCCUUGCCUAUCACAGAGUAAGUGCUCAGUAAAUGUUUGUUUUUACUAUGUAACAGGCAGGCAUCUUACUAGGCACUGGGGAUCCUUACCAAGUCAAAUACCUUGGCUGAGAAUAUUACUGAAAUAUUGUUUCAAAUGUGACUGAAAGGAAAGGCAGUAUACUGCCCAGCAGGUCCUUGUUCUGGAAGAAUGAGUAAGGAAAGCUUGAGGACAGAGCCCCAUAGUGGUGUUGAAAUCUCCUCCAGGGUCUGCCAUGUGGGGAUCCUUUUCUAGCUACCGUCCCAACCUAUGG